rnacentral:rRNA from 1 species
GUGGGGAAUCUUCCGCAAUGGACGAAAGUCUGACGGAGCGACGCCGCGUGAGUGAAGAAGGCCUUCGGGUCGUAAAGCUCUGUCAUCAGGGACGAACGGCCGGUGGAGUGGAAAGCCACCGGAUUGACGGUACCUGAGAAGGAAGCCACGGCUAACUACGUGCCAGCAGCCGCGGUAAUACGUAGGUGGCAAGCGUUGUCCGGAAUUAUUGGGCGUAAAGCGCGCGCAGGUGGGAUCUUAAGUCCAUUUUUAAAGUUCGGAGCUCAACUCCGUGAUGGGAUGGAAACUGGGAUUCUUGAGUACCGGAGAGGAAAGCGGAAUUCCCCGUGUAGCGGUGAAAUGCGUAGAUAUGGGGAGGAACACCAGUGGCGAAGGCGGCUUUCUGGACGGUGUCUGACACUGAGGCGCGAAAGCCAGGGGAGCGAACGGGAUUAGAUACCCUAGUAGUCC